GGGUUGGUGGCCUAAUAGCUAUGGUUUCUGCUUCGUGAGCAGAAGGUCAUGGGUUCAAUCCCAUGCCCGUCUCU
rnacentral:tRNA from 1 species